CCUACGGGAGGCAGCAGUGAGGAAUAUUGGUCAAUGGACGCAAGUCUGAACCAGCCAUGCCGCGUGCAGGAAGACGGCCCUAUGAGUUGUAAACUGCUUUUGUACGAGGGUAAAUCCCGAUACGUGUAUCGGGUUGAAAGUAUCGUACGAAUAAGGAUCGGCUAACUCCGUGCCAGCAGCCGCGGUAAUACGGAGGAUUCAAGCGUUAUCCGGAUUUAUUGGGUUUAAAGGGUGCGUAGGCGGGUCGUUAAGUUAGGGGGGAAAUCCCGGGGCUCAACUCCGGCACUGCAUCUGAUACUGGCUGGCUAGAGUUUAGUUGCAGUAGGCGGAAUGUGUGGUGUAGCGGUGAAAUGCAUAGAGAUCAUACAGAACACCGAUUGCGAAGGCAGCUUACC
rnacentral:rRNA from 1 species